rnacentral:lncRNA from 1 species
GAGACCUACGGCCAUCCUACUGAUAUGAACCAGAUCAUACCUGCCCUGAUGGGAUGCCAGAGAAAGACUGCUGCAAGGUACGCGCCACUCACAGACCUCUCCAUUUAUCUCACUGAUGCAAAGGACCCUGAGUAGGGAUCCUCUGGAAACAGAACAGAGGGAAGAAGAUACCUUCCCUGAAGCCCAGAUGUUCCAGAAGCCUGCGCCUCAUUCACAAAGUCACCCCAAAAAUGCCCUAGAGUUUGGAGUUUUGAAGAAGCGGGAAGAAGGCCUGAGUAAGGGCCUGGGAACCAAGUUAGAUCCUACUUCAGCAUCAGCACAUGCCAGCGAUGGUGCACACAGGUGGAGAGCGGCCUGCCCGUCUUUUCCAUGGUGCCCACAGACCCAUUUAGGAUGAAAGAUCAGAAAAUUCUCUCCAUGUCACCGCUUCUGAAACAUGUGAAUAUUAAUAUUUGGUGCCUAAAAGGCCAUGGCAAAUUUUCAUUGGUUUUAUCUUAUUCAUGAUUAUAGAGUUGAAAGAAUACA